rnacentral:rRNA from 1 species
CGGUAAUUCCAGCUCCAAUAGCGUAUACUAAAGUUGUUGCAGUUAAAAAGCUCGUAGUUGGAUUUCUGCGGGGACGGAGCGGCCGGACGCAACUUGCGUCUCGAGCUAGCGCUUUCCCCGCAUCCUGCCGCGAACCGUGCUACCAUUAGUUUGGUGGCGCUGGGGAUCGGCUCGAUUACUUUGAGAAAAAUAGAGUGUUCAAAGCAGGCCACACGCCUUGAAUAAGUUAGCAUGGAAUAAUGACUAAGGACUUCGGUUCUAUUUUGUUGGUGUUCGGGACUGAAGUAAUGAUUGAUAGGGACAGUUGGGGCGGUCUGUAUUCCAAAGCGAGAGGUGAAAUUCUUAGACCUUCAGAAGACAAACAGCUGCGAAAGCGUUCCGCAAGGAUGUUCCCUUUGAUCAAGAACGAAAGUUGGGGGAUCGAAGACGAUCAGAUACCGUCGUAGUCUCAACUAUAAACUAUACCAGCUAGGGAUCGGCCAACGUUUAAUUAAUCGACUUGGUCGGCACCUUAUGAGAAAUCAAAGCAUCUGGGUUCCGGGGGGAGUAUGGUCGCAAGGCUGAAACCUAAAGGAAUUGACGGAAGGGCACCACCAGCCGUGGAGCCUGUGGCUUAAUUUGACUCAACACGGGAAAACUUACCAGGUCCAGACAUAGGAAGGAUUGACAGAUUGAUAGCUCUUUCUUGAUUCUGUGGGUGGUGGUGCAUGGCCGUUUUUAGUUGGUGGAGUGAUUUGUCUGCUUAAUUGCGUUAACGAACGAGACCCCAGCCUGCUAAAUAGCGCGGCUGAGCUUUGCUCGGUGCGAGCUUCUUAGAGGGACCAUGAUGCGCGAUAGCACAAGGAAGUUUGGGGCAACAACAGGUCUGUGAUGCCCUUAGAUGUUCUGGGCCGCACACGGGCUACACUGGCGCCUGCAACGAGCAUAUCAGCUGGCCCGAGAGGGUCUUGGCUAAUCUUUUGAACCGGCGCCGUGCUUGGGAUUGACCUUUGCAAUUGUUGGUCAUGCAACGAGGAAUGCCUUGUAAACGCGAGUCAUCAGCUCGCAUUGAAUACGUCCCUGCCCUUUGUACACACCGCCCGUCGCUCCUACCGAUGAAUGUUCCGAUGAAAUUUUCGGAGAGCGCCAGAGAACGGGGCUCCGCCUUGCAGAUCGGGAGGCUCAAAGUCACUUAAAUCUGAACAUUUCGAGGAAAGGGAAGUCGUAACAAGGUAACC